AUUGAACGCUGGCGGAAUGCUUUACACAUGCAAGUCGAACGGACCUUUCGGGGUUAGUGGCGGACGGGUGAGUAACACGUGGGAACGUCCCUUUAGGUUCGGAAUAGCUCCUGGAAAGGGGUGGUCAUGCCGAAUGUGCCCUUCGGGGGAAAGAUUUAUCGCCUUUAGAGCGGCCCGCGUCUGAUUCGCUAGUUGGUGAGGUACUGGCUCACCAAGGCGACGAUCAGUAGCGGGUCUGAGAGGAUGACCAGCCACAUUGGGACUGAGACACGGCCCAAACUCCUACGGGAGGCAGCAGUGGGGAAUCUUGCGCAAUAGGCGAAAGCCUGACGCAGCCAUGCCGCGUGGAUGAUGAAGGUCUUAGGAUUGUAAAAUCCUUUCACCGGUGAAGAUAAUGACUGUAGCCGGAGAAGAAGCCCCGGCUAACUUCGUGCCAGCAGCCGCCGCCGUAA
rnacentral:rRNA from 1 species